UAAAUAGAUGAUUUUUAAGUUAAAAUAAUAUAGUUAAUUACAUGGCCAUAUUAAUGAAGUUUCCAGGUAGAUUUCCAUGAGAUCUACAGAAUGAGGAAGAGUUCACCACACAAUAAGCAGUGACUACGGUGAGGACUCUCUGUCGAAUUUGCUUUAACCAGCCACAAGUUCAUAUAUAGAAAUCUGAUCUGAAUCUAAUCAUGAAGAAAGUGACAAAUUCCUGAACAUGGGGCAUUCAAUGGGACAACUGGACUCUACAAAAUCUUUGAUACCAUGAAAAAGAUAUCCUAGAUUGCUGGAAGACUAAAAGAACAUAAUGGCCAAAUGCAAUGAACAAACUUUGAUUGGAUUUUGGGGCAGAACAAAUAACCAGGUGUGAUUAUGAUGUUGUGCUCGUCAAGAAAAAAGUGUACUUAUCCUUGAGAGAUGCAGACUGAAGAAUUGAGGAGUAGACUACAGAUUCAAUGCAAUUCCUAUCAAAAUUCCAACAGCAUUUUUCACAAAAAUAGAAACAACAACCCUAAAAGUCAAAUGGAACUGCAAAAGACCUCAAAUAGCUGAAGUAAACCUGAGCAAGAACAAAGCUGGAGGUAUCACAUUUCCUUAUUUCAAAACAUAUUACUAAGCUAUAGUAAUCAACAGUAUGGUACUGGCAUAAAAACAAACAUAUAGGCCAAUGGAACAAAAUGGAGAGCCCAGAAAUAAUCCACGUAUUUACAGACAAGUGAUCUUCAACAAGGAUGCCAAGAACACACAUGAGGAAAGGACAGUCUCAUCAAUAAACGGUAUUGGGAUAUGCAUAUUCAGAAAAAUGAAAUGGUACCCCAUCACACAUCAUAUACAAAAAUCAACUCAAAAUAGAUUAAAGACUUAAAUGUAAGAUCUGAAACGGUAAAACUAUUAGAAGAAAACAUAAGGGAAAAGCUUUCUGACAUAAGGCUUGGGAGUUAUUUUUUGGAUAUGAUUCCAAAAGCAUAGGCUACAAAAGCAAAAACAGACGUAUGAGAUUGCAUCAAACUAAAAAACUACUGCACAGC